CAGUUAUCCUUGUAACUCCUAAUGUCUAUAUAAAAGAUUUUUAUAUUUUUUAAUUCUUAAAAUUUUAUUAUUUAUUUCACACCAGGCCAUCACUGUGAUACAUUUUUUAAAACACAUUAAAUUAUCACCAGAAAAGUGCUGUGAUGGAAAAUAUAAAUUGAAAUACCUUUUCUGGUUAGGAGAGUAAUUCUGUUUUUCUGAUAGAGAAUAGAAGAGUCCUUCAGGCCCCUCCAAACUGUCAUAUUCCGGGCAUCGGGUGUCCCCAUCCUCACUUCAGUCCACAGGCAGGGUCCUCAGUCUUCAGCGCUCCUUCUCUUUCCCCUUUGUCUUGUGUCUCCUUGGGUCUCUUUUCUCCAAGACCUAAACUCCCUGAGGACAGGACUAUUUUUUACAUCUUGAUGUCACUCCUGAGCACUUGCUUUAAUGUGUUGGACACUGGGUCCAUUAAAGAUUGUAUGUGAAAUUA
rnacentral:lncRNA from 10 species